GCUCAUGUAGUAUAAUAUAAUACCUAAUCUUUUCGCGAUUAAAAUAGAGUUUCUCUUAUGAGUU
rnacentral:tRNA from 1 species